GUGGGUAUAGCACAGUGGUGGAGCACAUGCUUAGCAUGCAUGAAGUCCUGGGUUCAAUCCCCGGUACCUUCA
rnacentral:tRNA from 1 species